GUUGACAUGCUUCGACAACGUUACAGACAAUAUGGGAUUAAUCCCGAUAUCUCUCUUCCGAGACAAACAAAAUGUAAUCGACGAAAGAGAAGAAUUGUAGGUGGUGAAACCAUUGAUCUCAACUCUUCACAGUCGGUUGCUCCCGAGCAUUCAAAGACUGACGAAGGGAUUGAUUGUAACCACUGUGGCACUGAUGUUGAACAACCUGAAACUGACUUACCAAUGAAUGAUCGAAUGGACAUCAGAAAUAGAGCUGUGUUUCAACAUAGUAGUUCUCAAGAAGGUGGGGUGGUUU